rnacentral:rRNA from 1 species
CCUACGGGUGGCAGCAGUGAGGAAUAUUGGUCAAUGGGCGCGAGCCUGAACCAGCAAAGUAGCGUGAAGGAUGACUGCCCUACGGGUUGUAAACUUCUUUUAUAAAGGAAUAAAGUGAGGCACGUGUGCCUGUUUGAAUGUACUUUAUGAAUAAGGAUCGGCUAACUCCGUGCCAGCAGCCGCGGUAAUACGGAGGAUUCGAGCGUUAUCCGGAUUUAUUGGGUUUAAAGGGGGCGUAGAUGGGUUGUUAAGUCAGUUGUGAAAGUUUGCGGCUCAACCGUAAAAUUGCAUUUGAUACUGGCAGGCUUGAGUGCAGUUGAGGUAGGCGGAAUUCGUGGUGUAGCGGUGAAAUGCUUAGAUAUCACGAAGAACACCGAUUGCGAAGGCAGCUUACUAAACUGCCACUGACAUUGAUGCUCGAAAGUGUGGGUAUCAAACAGGAUUAGAUACCCUUGUAGUC